CUCUUUUUCAAGCAAGUAUCUAACUGUAUCCUAAAUGUAAUUGCAAAAAGGUGCUUAGUGAAUGAGUACACUGUAUUUAACACAGUGAGGGAAUUUAAGCAUGCCUGGGAUAGGGAUAAGGUUAUCCUAGCUAUAAGAUAAGGUCAAGGACUAAUGAAAGUAUUUAAGUAAUUGGGUGUAGACUAAAUAGGCCAAAUGGUCCUUAUCUUCUGUCACAUGCUAGGUUUCUAUACUUUGAGCAGCUGAACUCCCCCAAUGCUAAAUUGUUUCAAAUCUCUUUCCCAAUGAUUAUCUUUAUUGAGCUAUGAGAUGUAGAAAUAAGAGGUCUCCAAGGAAUUGCAGUAUUUGUAGAUUACCCCUGGGAUGCUGGAAAACUGAACAUAUAUAUAUUUCUUUUUUGUUUAUGUACCAGACUCAUUUUUAGUUAAAG